ACGCUCGACACCUACGGGAGGCGGCAGUGGGGAAUAUUGCACAAUGGGGGAAACCCUGAUGCAGCGACGCCGCGUGAGGGAAGAAGUAUUUCGGUAUGUAAACUUCUAUCAGCAGGGAAGAAAAUGACGGUACCUGACUAAGAAGCCCCGGCUAACUACGUGCCAACAGCCGCGGUAAUCUGAGCGGGCUGGCAAGGC
rnacentral:rRNA from 1 species